rnacentral:rRNA from 1 species
ACCAUCAAACCCAAUGUUAUAGGAGGUCCAGCCUGCCCAGUGACUACAAGUUCAACGGCCGCGGUAUUUUGACCGUGCAAAGGUAGCGCAAUCACUUGUCUUUUAAAUAGAGACCUGUAUGAAUGGCUAAACGAGGGCUUAACUGUCUCCCCUUUCCAGUCAGUGAAAUUGAUCUGCCCGUGCAGAAGCGGACAUAAAAAUACAAGACGAGAAGACCCUUUGGAGCUUAAGGUACAAAACUCAACCGCGUCAAGCAACUCAAUAAAAAGCAAAAACUUUGCGGAACAUGAGAUUUUACCUUCGGUUGGGGCGACCACGGAGGAAAACAAAGCCUCCAAGUGGAUUGGGAAAACCUCCUAAAACCAAGAGAGACAUCUCUAAGCCACAGAACAUCUGACCAAACAUGAUCCGGCUGCCCGAAGCCGAUCAACGAACCAAGUUACCCUAGGGAUAACAGCGCAAUCCUCUCCCAGAGUCCAUAUCGACGAGAGGGUUUACGACCUCGAUGUUGGAUCAGGACAUCCUAAUGGUGCAGCCGCUAUUAAGGGUUCGUUUGUUCAACGAUUAAAGUCCUACGUGAUCUGAGUUCAAAACCGGAGA